GCAAUUGCAUGCACUAUAUUAAGGUAUAGGAAGUCAAAAGCAAUUCUUCUGAGUAGUUAUAUGAAGGACACUGCUCAUGUUAUGGACAACUUUCAUGUGCCCUUACUUUUAGAAGCAUGGAAGCCAAUAUCAUUUGUUCACGAGAGAAGGUGGUGGGAAUGCGUAGCAUUGCCAGAGGAUGUUGAUCCGUCUGAGGAAGCUGCAUUUAGGAUGGAAAUUAAAGAGCUUGCCUUUACGGCAAAGAAAUUUCUUCUAGAUGUUGCAUCUUAAGACAAUUACAUUGCAUAUUUUAGCCAACCUUGCUUUUAGUUGUUUGCUGCGUGAUAGUGAAAUUAUGAAUGUGAACCUCCAUUUAGUGACUGAUUGGAGAUUUGAUAUUGAAAAGAAAAGAUUUGGACUGGCUAAAAUACUCCAGUUUUCUGUGACAAUGUAAAAAAUGAUAGUUAAAUUAUGAAUGUGAACCUCCAUUUUGUGACUGAUUGCAGAUUUGAAAGACUUGUCCUAGUUUGUAAUUAGGUAAUUUAAUCUUGGUAUCUAAAUAGAUUAUCAUUAUGCUUCUUAAGAGUCUGCUCCUGAAGAAGUGUUCAUUGGUGAUGCUCGCCCGUUAUUUUGUCGGCUGCUUUCCACUCUUUAGUUUAUCUUCUUUACCUUUCCAUGCUUAGUUUGCUAAUAGUAUUUGUUAUGUGGCAAGUUGAAAUGGACUCAGGGCCAACUACUCCCAACAUCUUUUCGUAAAUGGGUGCAUCUUAGUGAAUUUCUCUUUGCUUAUUUAAGAAACAAAAAUUUCAACCGCUUGAUCUUCCUAACCGAUGCCUUAUUUGGUUUUUGGGUUGUUUUGAUCCAUGUAAGAUCACCACCAGCCUCAAGAAUCUUUCAGAAGUUCAGGUGUAUUGCAAAUGGGGAUCAGUGGUCAUUCCCGUUUGCUCAUUCUAAAAAGUUGCCACUAGAUACCUUCUACAUCUUUCCUAGAGAAAUUCAAAUAGUUGAUUUUUGAAAUUCUGUCUUUAUCUAUUUUUAUCACUUUGCAUGUCGAUGAUCCUCCUGCAUCUACAGUCACUUCCCUGAUAAUCCCUUUUUUUCUUUUUUCUGUCAUCGCAACUCCUGAAGGCGGCUAUCUUUGACAAAGAAUGUGAACCAUUAUUCUCACUUGACAUUAUGGGCUUAUCAUUGGAAUGUUUGAGCUGAAUAAUGUGUAAGUUUUGCUCUUAUCAAGGUUUGAAUAUUUCCUACUUUCUAAGUCUCAAACCAUAGACUGUGCAGACAACAAUAUCUACAAUUAAAAUUCUCCUUUCUUUCUCCA